ACUCCUGCGGGAGGCAGCAGUGGGGAAUAUUGGACAAUGGGCGCAAGCCUGAUCCAGCCAUGCCGCGUGAGUGAUGAAGGCCCUAGGGUUGUAAAGCUCUUUCACCGGUGAAGAUAAUGACGGUAACCGGAGAAGAAGCCCCGGCUAACUUCGUGCCAGCAGCCGCGGUAAUACGAAGGGGGCUAGCGUUGUUCGGAUUUACUGGGCGUAACGCGCACGUAGGCGGACUAUUAAGUCAGGGGUGAAAUCCCGGGGCUCAACCCCGGAACUGCCUUUGAUACUGGUAGUCUUGAGUUCGAGAGAGGUGAGUGGAAUUCCGAGUGGAGAGGUGAAAUUCGUAGAUAUUCGGAGGAACACCAGUGGCGAAGGCGGCUCACUGGCUCGAUACUGACGCUGAGGUGCGAAAGCGUGGGGAGCAAACAGGAUUAGAAACCCGUGUAGUCCC
rnacentral:rRNA from 1 species